rnacentral:rRNA from 1 species
CUGACCUGCCCACUGAAUAUUGUUUAAAGGGCCGCAGUAUUUUGACUGUGCAAAGGUAGCAUAAUCAUUAGUCUUUUAAUUGAAGGCUGGUAUGAAUGGUUGGAUGAGAUACAAGCUGUGUCAUAAAAAUUAAUAUUUGAACUUACCUUUUUAGUCAAAAGGCUAAAAUAAUCUUAAAAGACGAGAAGACCCCAUAGAGCUUUAUAUAAUUAAUAUUUAAAUUAUUAAGAUUUUUAAAAUUUAAUUAUUAGAUUAUAUUUUGUUGGGGUGACAAUAAAAUUAAUAAAACUUUUAUUUUUAAUUAACAUUGAUUUAUGAGUAAAUGAUCCAGUUUUAUUGAUUAUAAAUUUAAGUUACCUUGGGGAUAACAGCGUAAUUUUUUUUGAGAGUUCUUAUCGACAAAAAAGAUUGCGACCUCGAUGUUGGAUUAAGAGUAAUUUUGGGUGUAGAAGUUCAAAGUNUUAAGUCUGUUCGACUUUUAAAUUCUU